AAGAAGAAACAGGAGCUCGCCCCCUUGUGAAAUCUCCUCUGCAGAGCAGGUAUUGGGACAAAUUUUAGGGUUUUUCUAGACCACCUAUACAGAGAGAUGACUUCUUCUAUGCCCCCACUCAUGAUAGCAACUUGUGAAAUUUGUGGGAAGAGUUGUGGUAAAUA